GGAGAGCUGGCCGAGCGGUUUAAGGCAGCAGUCUUGAAAACUGCCGACGGUGGAAGCCGUCCGUGGGUUCGAAUCCCACGCUCUCCG
rnacentral:tRNA from 1 species